rnacentral:rRNA from 1 species
CCUACGGGUGGCAGCAGUGGGGAAUAUUGCACAAUGGGGGAAACCCUGAUGCAGCGAAGCAGAGUGAGUGAAGAAGUAAUUAGUUAUGUAAAGCUCUAUCAGCAGGGAAGAAAAUGACGGUACCUGAGUAAGAAGCCCCGGCUCACUACGUGCCAGCAGCCGCGGUAAUACGUAGGGGGCAAGCGUUAUCCGGAUUUACUGGGCGUAAAGGGAGCGUAGACGGGAGUGCAAGUCUGGAGUGAAAGGGGGGGGCUCAACCCCCGGACUGCUCUUGAAACUGUACGGCUGGAGUGCAGUAGAGGUAAGUGGAAUUCCUUGUGUAGCGGUGAAAUGCGUAGAUAUUAGGAGGAACACCAGUGGCGAAGGCGGCUUACUGGACUGUAACUGACGUUGAUGCUCGAAAGCGUGGGGAGCAAACAGGAUUAGAUACCCGAGUAGUC